ACGGCCGUACCAUGCUGAAUAUACCGGUUCUCGUUAGAUCACCGAAGUUAAGCAUCAUUGGAAAUUGUCAGUACUUUUAAAAAAUGGGUGGGUGACCACCUGGGAACACUGCGUGCCGUUG